rfam:Jatrophihabitans endophyticus strain DSM 45627 genome assembly, contig: Ga0131187_103
GCCGGUCCUCGGUAGUGGCGGGCGGGGCCCUGCGAUCGAUCCGGGCCCGACCGCUUCGAUCGAAGACCGGC